CGGUGUAGCUCAGUUGGCCAGAGCACGUGAUUUGUAAUCUCGGGGUCGGGGGUUCGAAUCCCUCCACCG
rnacentral:tRNA from 1 species